AACGUAGGUAGAGGUUGCAUUUUUCAUAAGUAGGAUGACGGAUGUGUCAGGAACAGAGGAACUCAUCAGAAAGGGAAAGAUGCCGAAAGGAUGAGAACUCCUGAAGGCUCAUUCUUGGGCAUGACAUUAAGAGUGGCAUGACUGUCAUCGCAAGAUGGAGAGCUAUCUGAUUU
rfam:Ruminococcus lactaris ATCC 29176 Scfld_02_44 genomic scaffold, whole genome shotgun sequence.